CCUCCCGCCGCAGAGUCCGCGUCACGUGAUGAGGCGGUGUCACGUGACCUGCCUUAUCGGGGGCGGGACUUCUGUAAACUGCUAUGAAGCCGAAUUAGAAAAAGGUACUGAGGAACUUUUUGCUAUCGAGAAAACCCAAGGAGGCCUCAAAUUUCUUCCCUUCCAUUGUCCACAAUGACCUCUUGGGGCCGAACAACGCUGCGCAAGAAUCCUCUGAGCCCUGCGAUCCACAGACCUCGUAUAUACUUUGCGUCAUAAUGGGGCUUAUCAUCACCACUACGAUUGUUCACUGUUGGCAUAUAGAAAUGCUACUGAC